CACGGAGCCUUCCGUGCUUCCAGCUCGUUUUCGAUGUUGCGACUUUCGAAUCGUCGAUCGGCUCCGUUAAACUUGAUCUAGAGUAUUUGGAGUACCUAGAAAAUAAAUUUUAUUAUUUUUCGAUAUCAUUUGCCUAGUGAUCGAAUGGGCUCAAAAUCAACAAAUUUCAAUGGCCGUAGUGAGCCGUUUGCAAGUUUAAUGGUGUAGAAAUAUCCAAAUCACGUGAAAUUUUGAUAGAAAAUUCUUUAUACUAUAUAAAACAAGAUCAAUAUCUUUGAUUUAAAAUUUUAAUGUCAUAUUAUUACAUUUUGUAAGAUUUUUAUUUUCAGCCGUUGAUUUUGAGCCCCUUCAUUCACUAGGCAAAUGAUAUCGUAAAAUCAUAAAAUUUAUUUUCUAGGUCCUUCAAAUACUCUAGAUUAAGUUUAACGGAGCCGAUCGACGAUUCAAAAGUCGCAACAUCGAAAACGAGCUGGAAGCACGGAAGGCUCCGUGCUUCCGAUAGCAUAGUAGCCUCAAAAAACCCUCCUGUGGUUUCGUAGUUUCUUACUUUGCCCUCCUGUGGUUUAAAAUGUAUCAAUUUGCCUUCUUGUGGAUUCUUUUUUCUCUUUUUCUUAUCAAUUUUAUUAUUUUUUUUCUUCAAUCAGUGAUAAAGUUAAAAUAAAAGGGUACUAAAGUGAAUAUUUGAUAAAUUUAGAUGAGUAUUUGAAGUUUUUUGUAUAUAAUUUAAUAAAAUAUUAACGAAAAAGCUACCGAAAAGAUAAAAACCAAACCACGUGGGGGAAAGUUGAAACAUUUUAAACCACUAGGGGACAAAGUGAGAAACUACGAAACCACAGGGGGUUUUUUUGAAGUUUUCCCUUAAGUUUUUACAGGAGAAUUUUGUUGUGGCUUUUUAGAAUAUAUUAAAAAAUUAUUAAGUUCGGUACGAAGGAUACAGUAACAAACUAUUUUACUUCUGCAAUGG
rnacentral:lncRNA from 1 species